UACGGAGGGGGCUAGCGUUGUUCGGAAUUACUGGGCGUAAAGCGCACGUAGGCGGACCAGCAAGUUAGGGGUGAAAUCCCGGGGCUCAACCCCGGAACUGCCUUUAAAACUGUUGGUCUGGAGGUCGAGAGAGGUGAGUGGAAUUCCGAGUGUAGAGGUGAAAUUCGUAGAUAUUCGGAGGAACACCAGUGGCGAAGGCGGCUCACUGGCUCGAUACUGACGCUGAGGUGCGAAAGCCAGGGGAGCAAACGGG
rnacentral:rRNA from 1 species